rnacentral:rRNA from 1 species
GACGAACGCUGGCGGCGUGCCUAAUACAUGCAAGUAGAACGCUGAAGAGAGGAGCUUGCUCUUCUUGGAUGAGUUGCGAACGGGUGAGUAACGCGUAGGUAACCUGCCUUGUAGCGGGGGAUAACUAUUGGAAACGAUAGCUAAUACCGCAUAACAAUGGAUGACACAUGUCAUUUAUUUGAAAGGGGCAAUUGCUCCACUACAAGAUGGACCUGCGUUGUAUUAGCUAGUAGGUGAGGUAAUGGCUCACCUAGGCGACGAUACAUAGCCGACCUGAGAGGGUGAUCGGCCACACUGGGACUGAGACACGGCCCAGACUCCUACGGGAGGCAGCAGUAGGGAAUCUUCGGCAAUGGGGGCAACCCUGACCGAGCAACGCCGCGUGAGUGAAGAAGGUUUUCGGAUCGUAAAGCUCUGUUGUAAGUCAAGGACGGGUGUGAGAGUGGAAAGUUCACACUGUGACGGUAGCUUACCAGAAAGGGACGGCUAACUACGUG